UAGCCAUGGUGUGGGCAGGCACUUCAAAGAUCCUUAAACCUCUCCUAGUAUUGGAAGAAGGUUUCUUCAUCUUUUUAGGAAAAGUUCAUGAUAACCCUUUUAAGAUU